CGUAUAUUUUCGUUUCCGGCUUUAACAAGUGUGUAGAAUCUAGACGCUACCGUGUUUUUACCUCCAAAUUGAAGAGUUCAAGUGCUACCAUUGGUCAAGAAGAAUGUAUUCGGAAUGGGCGUGACUUUGAUCUUCCGAUAGAUGGCGCAACAUUGAUAUCACAAAUGUUAGCUCAAUCUGCCAAGGGUGAAGAGAACGGGAGUGGAUCGUAACCCUUGGCUAGCGAAGAUGCAGUUUGACCUCCAAAACUGUGUCUCAGAUUUCCAAAAACAUCAAUAGAACAAAUUUUAUACCACAUUGAAUUUGGUGAUCUCUUAUGAAUUCAUGUUGCAAACUUCAUUGAAGAUUUAUGAG
rnacentral:lncRNA from 1 species